rnacentral:rRNA from 1 species
GAUGAACGCUGGCGGCGUGCCUAAUACAUGCAAGUCGAGCGGACGGACGAGAAGCUUGCUUCUCUGAUGUUAGCGGCGGACGGGUGAGUCACACGUGGAUAACCUACCUAUAAGACUGGGAUAACUUCGGGAAACCGGAGCUAAUACCGGAUAAUAUUUUGAACCGCAUGGUUCAAAAGUGAAAGACGGUCUUGCUGUCACUUAUAGAUGGAUCCGCGCUGCAUUAGCUAGUUGGUAAGGUAACGGCUUACCAAGGCAACGAUGCAUAGCCGACCUGAGAGGGUGAUCGGCCACACUGGAACUGAGACACGGUCCAGACUCCUACGGGAGGCAGCAGUAGGGAAUAUUCCGCAAAGGGCGAAAGCCUGACGGAGCAACGCCGCGUGAGUGAUGAAGGUCUUCGGAUCGUAAAACUCUGUUAUUAGGGAAGAACAUAUGUGUAAGUAACUGUGCACAUCUUGACGGUACCUAAUCAGAAAGCCACGGCUAACUACGUG